AACGAACGCUGGCGGCAGGCCUAACACAUGCAAGUCGAGCGCACCCUUCGGGGCGAGCGGCGGACGGGUUAGUAACGCGUGGGAAUGUACCCAGAUCUACGGAAUAGCCUCGGGAAACUGAGAGUAAUACCGUAUACGCCCUUCGGGGGAAAGAUUUAUCGGAUUUGGAUCAGCCCGCGUUAGAUUAGAUAGUUGGUGGGGUAAUGGCCUACCAAGUCUACGAUCUAUAGCUGGUUUUAGAGGAUGAUCAGCAACACUGGGACUGAGACACGGCCCAG
rnacentral:rRNA from 1 species